rnacentral:rRNA from 1 species
UAGCCUGAGAAAUAGCUACCACUUCUACGGAGGGCAGCAGGCGCGCAAAUUGCCCAAUGUCAAAAAAAAACGAUGAGGCAGCGAAAAGAAAUAGAGCCGACAGCGCAUUUUGUAUUGUCGUUUUCAAUGGGGGAUAUUUAAACCCAUCCAAAAUCGAGUAACAAUUGGAGGACAAGUCUGGCGCCAGCACCCGCGGU